AAGAAAAAUGUCAUCAACUGGUGAUGCAAGAUGAGCCCAAUCACUAAACACUGUUUAGCAAACUCCAAAUUCUGCAACCAGACAGUAGAAGGCAUUUCAUACACUUAAGCAGAGCUGCUGCACAAUGAAUGUGUCCUUUUGCUUCUGAGAAUCAAACAAUCCUUUUGCUAAUGAAGAAAAUAAGCUGGAAUGAAUACUGUCAUAUCUUCUUGAAGAAAGCUUUCAAUACACUGUCUUCACCCAAGAUUUCAUCCGCAUCUGAGGAAGUUGAUUUCAUGUGUUUCAGAGGUGUAGGAGGACACUGGCGGAUAACUGGCAUGUGCUUUCAAAGGUGAUUCUUAUGGAGGAUCAAGUUCAAAACCACUGAUCCAGUCCAGUUUUUCAUUUUUAGGGAGAUGAUCUGAAGGAUGAGACUUCCUGAUUUGCUGAUCCUUCAAAAUCAGAAUUGAGAAAGAAACUGGCCAACCAGACCCCAUCCUAGGCUGCAAAGUCCACACUAAGGGGAGGAGAUGAGGUUGCCGCCUCCAGAGGAAGCAAGAGCAUUACAAUCGCUGAUGGAAUCUGUCAGUGAGAAUACCUGCCUGCAUCAUCACCGGGCUUGCACAGUAGACACGUGCGCUCACACCCCCUGCAAAGUACAGUGCUGGGUGUUUCUGUGUCCAUGAGAGGGUGCUAGGCAAGGGGUCACUGCGACCCCAGUUACUCUUUCCCCACCCACACUCUUCUUGUCCUGGAAAGCCAAGGCUCCCAUACUUGGCCUCCUGCAGCCAGCCUCUAACUGUUGGUGCUGCUU